UCAGCUGGUGGGGGGGAAAGGUGCUGAGGCCUCUCGCGAAGACUUGAAGGUACCGCGGCGGCCAGGAGGACAGAACCGGAAGUCCUUAGUCGUGAGCGUCCAAUGCUGGAAGCGGCCUGACUUUCUUUGCCGGAAACUCUUUUCCAGGGGAUGGGAAGACGGCCCACCUGGCCGGAAGUCCCGCCCCUUUGAGCUCCACCCUUCCAGAAGUUUUUCUGUCACCUGUGCUGGUCUCCGUUCCCUUUCCCAGUUUUAUUACUAUACCAGAAAAGGAUUAUUUUUAGUCUCUCCCUCCCAGCUCCAAUAGACUAGUUGGGUACCUCACUCCCCGAGUCGGAGGUCCUUCCCCGAGCCCCCAUGUAGCUGGGAAGUGGGACCUGGGGGUGGUUGGACCCCUGGGAUCCUGAAGGAGGGCCAGAGAGGGCGCAGAACUCCGGUUCUGUUCCUGUUACCCGGACUCGGCCCCCUCCGCCUCUCCUCCCGCUGCCAUGCACCCUGCGGCCUUCCCGCUUCCUGUGGUUGUGGUCACUGUGCUGUGGGGAGCGGCCCCCAGCCGGGGGCUCAUUCGAGCGAUCUCGGACCACAAUGCCAGCAUGGACUUUGCAGACCUCCCAGCUCUCUUUGGGGCUGCUUUGAGCCAGGAGGGACUUCAGGGCUUCCUUGUGGAGGCUCACCCAGACAAUGCCUGCAGCCCCAUUGCCCCACCACCACCCCC
rnacentral:lncRNA from 1 species